GAUGAAGAACGCAGCGAAUUGCGAUAAGUAGUGUGAAUUGCAGAAUUCAGUGAAUCAUCGAAUCUUUGAACGCACAUUGCGCCCCUUGGUAUUCCAUGGGGCAUGCCUGUUCGAGCGUCAUCUACACCCUCAAGCUCUGCUUGGUGUUGGGCGUCUGUCCCGCCUCUGCGCGCGGACUCGCCCCAAAUUCAUUGGCAGCGGUCCUUGCCUCCUCUCGCGCAGCACAUUGCGCUUCUCGAGGUGCGCGGCCCGCGUCCACGAAGCAACAUUACCGUCUUUGACCUCGGAUCAGGUAGGGAUACCCGCUGAACUUAAGCAUAUCAAUAAGCGGAGGA
rnacentral:misc_RNA from 1 species